CAAAUCAUGCUAUUAUUCCCAUUUUAUAGACAAAGAAUGAGUUAGGAAGGUUGAAUAACUCGUGAAAACUCACAAAUCUAUUAGGAGGAGGAGCAGUGAUUCUAGGGCCAGUGGAUGCCAACAAAGAGCUCCUACUUCUUUCAAAGAUCACACUGGAAAGAAGGUGGCCUGUGAUCUAUUUCUCUUCCUCCAAGGGGAAGUGAGGUCAUGCUCAAGAAAAAGAGAAGACUGAGUACAGGUAU
rnacentral:lncRNA from 1 species